ensembl:lncRNA
UGUCAGGAGUUUUCCUGUUCUGCAACUCAGAUUGGAAUAAUGACACUCAGACAGGUUUUACAAAUUAACGUGCACGGGAGAGAACUGGACAGGCGCCGUUCCUUCGCUUGACCUCAGUUGCUCUCGACCACUCUCCCGUAACACUGCUCUUUUAUUGUGGUUACAUGAAUAUGCAUAGGUUCAUUAACAUAUGACGUAUACCGUGUGUGUGUGUGUGUGUGUGUGUGUGCGGGGUUGAGAUAUGACCCCGUGAAGACUCCCCAAAGCUGGUGCCAGGAGUCUAAUGGUACAUCUAAACAAAAGGCUCUUAGACUAAAACAGAUACAGAGUAGGUGUCCUCCUAUACCAUAAAUCAGUAAGAGAAGGUACAACCUCUCUCAUGACCUUAGGAUGUGUGUGUGAAAGUCAGAGAGCUCUGGAAAGAAAACAAAGCUUGCACAACGUAACUUCUCUAGUAAAAAGAGCAAACACAUCUAGAAAACCUUAAACAUAAUGUACUUCUAAACAUAAACAUAAUAAAAUCUUUCAACAUUCCCUCCUGUUGUUUGAUCUUUUCUCAUAUAUAUAUAUAUAUAUACAUAGCAACUCACUAACACUGUAUCAGUCUAUGGCCACUUGUAAAACAUUUUUAGCCAGGACAUCAUUAAUUAGUGGGUUUUGUGAAUAUGUUAUAUCCAAAUGUCUAUCUCAUUAUCAUCUUCUUCAUUCUGUGGUAGGGUGAUGUAAGCAUUAAUUGAAGCAGUUACCAUUUUUGACACCAUGUUCUUCAAACAAGGUAUGACGCAUGAAGUAGAAAGACACAAUAACAAUAGUAGAACACCAACUAAAACAAGUCCUUUAAACAGCAGGGACUUCCAAGAGCCGCUUAACAACCACGUGAGCCAGUCUUCUGUAUUUGUGACGUAGUCUUGUUGUUGUGCAUCCCUGAGUUGUCUAAGUAUGUUCAGAGCAUCAGUCAUGUUGGAUGACUGUAAGUAUGUGUGUGAAUGCCAGAGUCUCCACAGACUACUAAAGAUCAAACUUCUAUCUAUCUGCAACUAAUUAUAAAACCCUAAGCAUAUAAGUAGAUAUCUGUAAACGUACACAGUUUCACAAAUGUAUUAGCAGUUACCCAAUUUCUCAUUGAUCUCAUUCAAUGGUAAACUGCAUCCUGCAAGCAAACAAAUGAAUUGUUAAUGAUCAAAAAAGAAAUUAACAUUUUCAAGAUCACUCCAGCUUGGUGGUGCUCCUCUGCAAGACAUGUAAAUCUCACGUCUCUCUGCAGAGUGGUUUAAGUUCUGCAGGGCGUCAUAAAUGUCUCUUCUAGUUGUUUCCAUCACUGUCCAUAGGACCAGAGUCCAAAUGUAUGUAGAAUAGACAUUCAAACAUACCAGUUGAGUUUGCCGUUUGUCAACAUGGGUCUCAGCCAUCUCCAAAGCUGCAGACCUUUUCAGCACUCUAGUUUUAUGGCCUCUGCCAACCCCCAUCACCUCACUUCAGGCCUCUGUCCUGUGGGGGAUUUUUAUGACUCCUCCAUUGUCCAUCCUCUGCAGGAAAAAUCCUCUAUGGAAAGGAUGUUGGAUCCAGUUAUCUUACUGCUGUUAUGAUCCCAGCAGUCGUCAGUGUGCCAUCGUAUGCACAGUACAGUGACACAGCAUUAGAUGAUGUUCAUAGGAAACUGCUGUCAUCACCACCAUAGCUUCUGGUUCCUGUGCUUUUCACAGAAUCAUGAUGUCAUCCUUGGACUCCCUCUGCGCUGUCGUUGGAGCUUGGCAUGCUCCCCUCAUCCUUCAGGUGCCCAUCUGUUGUCUACAAUCUCCUCUGUUGGCCUCUGGAAAGCCCCCUUGGCACAGCUCUCAUUCCAACGCAGCUUCAUGGUCCUUGCUGUGGUUGUGGAAUCUGAUCUCCCAAUGGGCCCCAAACAGCUCGACCUUUGACCUCAACCACUGCCUGGACUGUCAGCUCUGCCUGGAAUGGGUUCUUGCUUCUCACUGGGCCUCUGAAGAUUUCUCAGGAGAUUCCUUACAGCAAUACUCUGACUGCUGCACCUGUAUUUCCUUGCUAGGAGGAAAAACUUCUAUUUGGGGAGCAUGUCAAUCAUCAUCAAACCACAUUCUUUAGUUCAGUGAGCUUCAUUUAUGGACCAUCAAAGCCUCAUCUGAACACGGAUGCACCACUUUGCAUAGAUUCAUCUGCACCUUUGUCAGGUGGGGGUUAACUUCACACAGUGAUGUCAGUCAGUCUGUCCGCUUCUGUCCGCUUUUACCAGUCAGUCAGUUUUAUUUUCUCUCACUCAUUCAUUCAUGCAUUCAUUCAUUCUUUCUUUGCUGAUAGUGGAAAUUAACGUCGCAUUUUUAUUUCCACUUCUCAGCAAAAUGACGUCAUUUCAAAAAGAAAAGAAGAACUUUAUAUUGGAUUCUCUCGCUUAAUCCUUUUUUGGGUAGGGACCUAUUCUCUAAUUGUCCCAGAUAAGUGACUUUCUCCUGAGCCCAUUUUAAUGUGGAGAAACUCACUUACAACAAUUUUCUCGACGACGUGUCGUAUAGCGCUUCUGUUCUAAUCGUGCAGAUCUGCUUCAAACAGAGAUCAUCAAACAAAACUUUCAGUGCACUGUGAAAGUAUCAAAAUAAAAAGGCCUCGUUAAGUCAUGACACACGCUCCUCAUCUCAGGAGGGUAAAUCAUACCAUUAGCAUGGUUUAUCAUACCAUCAUACUAAUUGGCAGGCUCAACUUCACAACAAAAGAAAAAUCAUCAGCUAGAUAAACUCCAAACCAACCAUCAGCUGCACAACACACAACAUAAGCCUCAUGUCUUAUUAGCUAUGAAUUUUAAUCCCCAGGACUGUACUUUUUACUCAUUUAGGCCACAGAUUUUAUUUAGUUUUCCUUUUUCCCAUCAUCAUAAAACAUGUGACAUGUUGUCAUGCAUUUCACAAAAGACGUUUGUUUUUAUAUAUUCAGAGUUGUGUAUCUGGGUGCAAGAUUCACUCACACAUCACAACAGGAAACUCAGUGUUUUAGAGUCUCCACUCUAACAAACUCCAACACAUCCCAUUCACUCGUACUAGAAUUCAAUCACCUUUCAUUAAUCUAAAAACCAUCAACUAAUUUGCAUAUCAGCUAUUAACCCACUAAGAUGACAGGACAACAGAAAUGCAUGUUCAAAAUAUUAUCACAAAAAUAGAAUUUUCCCUCAUACAGUAAAAUAUUUUGUGCUGCAUCAAUCAGGCAGAAAGCAUCUCCCAAUUUACUAUAUUACCAACUAAAUUUAUUUUCUGAUCACUGGUUGGUCAAACCACAAUCUUUUUUUUUUCUUUUUUUUUUUUUUUUUUCCACAAAAGUUAAACUGUUGUCCUGCAACCUAGAGAGUUAACUGUCAGCAUUGGAUAAAUUCAGCAUUUGAUAACAAGUCUCUGUUAAAUUUACACUAUUUUAGCACUGAUGAGAGAUAACAAGCUGAUUUCCAUUGCAUGUAGGUUUGUGU